AAUAACUUGGCAUGUGGAUGCAGAUUGGUCAAGAACUUGUAAAAAAGCUCGUAUUAGUGCAAUAAAUUGGUAAUUGGUGCAUCCGUAGUCUAAAUGUUGUAACAAGCAACAUAUUUGCUAAUGUCGGGUCAGAGGAUAUUCACAUGAGAACAAGUUAUUGAGCAUUAUUUGACCACUGAUAUUCGUGUCGUAAGGGUAACAUAUUUGGCCUCGAAUAGAACCUUCAGUUUUAGGAAAUUAAUGUUAUGUUUUCGUAUUAAUUAUUUUUUAUACAAGGAUUUAAUUUUUAUUAGGAGUAUUUAAUUUUAUAUUCAAUAUCGAUAAGUUCACCCUUGAUGUUUUACAUUUUGAUUAUAUGCAUUUUUGUUCAACUAAAAAACUAAUAUAUUAAUACAUACUAACAAGACGUUUGGCGUAAAUAUUUUUUAAAGCCACAUGUACUUGUUUACAAAAUAAAA
rnacentral:lncRNA from 1 species